rnacentral:rRNA from 1 species
CCAGCAGCCGCGGUAAUUCCAGCUCCAAUAGCGUAUAUUAAAGUUGUUGUGGUUAAAAAGCUCGUAGUUGGAUCUCAACAGCCUUGAAGCGGUUAACUUUGUAGUUUUACUGCUUUAUAGGCUGUGCUUUUGCUGGAGGUUUAGGGGUGCUCUUGAUCGAGUGUCUCUGGAUGCCAGCAGGUUUACUUUGAAAAAAUUAGAGUGCUCAAAGCAGGCUAAAAUGCCUGAAUAUUCGUGCAUGGAAUAAUAGAAUAGGAUGUCGAUCCUAUUUUGUUGGUUUUCGGGACUCGACAUAAUGAUAAAUAGGGACAGUCGGGGGCAUUUGUAUUCAAACGACAGAGGUGAAAUUCUUGGACCGUUUGAAGACAAACUACUGCGAAAGCAUUUGCCAAGAAUGUUUUCAUUAAUCAAGAACGAAAGUUAGAGGUUCGAAGGCGAUUAGAUACCGCCCUAGUUCUAACCAUAAACGAUGCCAGCUAGCGAUCUGCCUGCGUUUUUACUGUAGACUGGGCAGGAAGCUUCCGGGAAACCAAAGCAUUUGGGUUCCAGGGGAAGUAUGGUUGCAAAGCUGAAACUUAAAGGAAUUGACGGAAGGGCACCACCAGGAGUGGAGCCUGUGGCUUAAUUUGACUCAACACGGGAAAUCUCACCAGGCCCGGACACUGGAAGGAUGGACAGAUUGAUAGCUCUUUCUUGAUUCGGUGGGUGGUGGUGCAUGGCCGUUCUUAGUUGGUGGAGUGAUUUGUCUGGUUAAUUCCGAUAACGAACGAGACUCUGUCCUGCUAAAUAGUUUCUACUUCUCUUUUGAGUAGAAAUUUCUUCUUAGAGGGACUGGUGACUCUUAGUCACACGAGAUUGAGCAAUAACAGGUCUGUGAU